rnacentral:rRNA from 1 species
CAGCAGCCACGGUAAUACGAAGGGGGCUAGCGUUGUUCGGAAUUACUGGGCGUAAAGCGCACGUAGGCGGCUUGGUAAGUUAGAGGUGAAAGCCCGGGGCUCAACCCCGGAACUGCCUUUGAAACUAGGUGACUAGAAUCUUGGAGAGGUCAGUGGAAUUCCGAGUGUAGAGGUGAAAUUCGUAGAUAUUCGGAAGAACACCAGUGGCGAAGGCGACUGACUAGACAAGUAUUGACGCUGAGGUGCGAAAGCGUGGGGAGCAAACAGGAUUAGAUACCCGCGUAGUCCCUGUCUCUUAUAC